rnacentral:misc_RNA from 1 species
AGGCAGUAUUUCAUAUUCAACAUCAUUGGUCAAUCCAGCGUGUAUCUGUUGCAUCUUGUGAAAUGGCCAUUGAUAGCAUGGUAAUGCAAUGUUGUCUUUCCUGCUGUGUUAUUUCUGAAGAAACAAAACGAAAGUAGAUCAAUCAAAAUCUCUAAUAUGGAGAAAGAUAGCAAAUGCUCGAGGCUUGUGGUUGCUGCAAUUGACUUUGGAACAACGUUUUCCGGUUAUGCCUUCUCCUCAAAAAAUGAAUGGGGACGAGUGUUUACUAAACAAUGGACUAGUGGAAGCCUGAUCUCUCCUAAGGCUCCUACCUGUCUCCUAUUGAAGAAGGACUUUUCUGAAUCUUGUUUUGGAUACGAGGCUGAGGACAAAUACUCAGAAUUGACAUCAGAAGAAAGUCACAAGGAAUACUAUUUUUUUCAAAGAUUUAAAAUGAUUCUUCGCCGAGAUGUCGAUGUAAAACAGCAUAUUUUGUGUUACGAUAUCUCAGGCGAAGCUCUGGAAGCACGUUUGGUCUUUCAACAUUGUAUCAAGUGUCUGAAGGAUUGUCUGUAUAAACACAUAGAGAAAAUAGUAUCAGGCACUCAGGAUGGUGACAUUGACUAUGUGUUGACAGUUCCUGCUAUAUGGGGAGACAAUGCCAAAAUGUUUAUGAGAGAGGCUGCCCUGAAGGCGGGGAUUAAAAAGGAUAACUUGACAAUAGCCCUAGAACCAGAAGCAGCAUCUAUGUACUGCCAAUACGUUGCCAAAGAAGACACAUUAUCGCCAACAUUAGGUGUUGUGAAACCAGGCACAAAGUACAUCCUGAUAGAUCUAGGGGGUGUUACUGCUAAUAUAACAGUGCAUCAGAAGUGUGAGGAUAACACUUUGGAGGAAGUUCUUCCAGCAAGUGGGGAGCCAUUGGGAGGAAAAGCUGUAGAUGACCGGUUCAUGAAUUUUUUAAAAGAAUUGGUUGGGGAAAAUGUUUUGGAGGAAUUCAAAAAGGAAAACAUGGAAGAUUAUAAUGAAAUCACAAGGAGUUUUGAAACAAAGAAACGAACAAUCAAACCAGACAAGAGUGGAAACACUCGAAUGCCAAUACCACACGCACUUGUGAAAUUAUGCACCAAGUCUCACGGAGUCAAGAGUUUUAUAGAAGUAAUUCAGAAAAAUGAUACCCAUAGAAAUAAUGUAGAUUUUAUUACUGGAAAGCUUGUAUGGAAUAAUGACUUUUUCAGGGGUUUCUUUAAGAAAACUAUUGAUGAAAUAGUGAAAUAUAUUGAUGAAAUAAUCCGGGAAUCUGAGGCAAGAGAUAUUCGAAUCUUUGUUUUGGUUGGCGGUUUUUCUGAAUGUUUACUGGUCCAGGAUGCAAUCAAGAAACAUUUUGGGGAUGUUUCUAUCAUUAUUGCCGAAGAAGCUGGAUUGGCUUUUUUGAAGGGUGCCGUCUUUUUGGCCAAGUGCCAGAUGCUAUCUCGCGUAGAUCAGUAAAAUACACAUAUGGCUUUCUAGAUUUAUGAGAUCAUGACUUGAAUGUAUGUGUGUAUGAAUGUGUUUUAUGUAUUAUAAAAUGAAAAACUGUAAAUAAAAAAAGAGACAUGUACACAUAUGGAAUACAAACAUGGUACAAAUUUAGAGAAGGGUAUCAUCUAAAAGAGAAAAAGGUCGAAAUUGGAAAAUCAAUACGGUGCCUAGAUGUCUUCUUCAAGAUUGUUACCAAAGGGGAAAAGGUCAUGCCAGGGUAUAUGAAGUCCCAGAUAUUUCAAGCCCUGCAUAACAAUGAAAAUCUUUUAGAUUGCGGGGUGUUUGUUUCAGAUAAAAAGGAUCCAAAGUUUGUAGAUGAUCCAGAGUGCAGGCUGCUUGGGCAUCUACAGGUCCCAUUAAAUGCAGAAAAGCAGACCGUUGAAACGAUGAUUGAGGAGACACUGAUUUUCGGUGAGACUGAAUUGAAAUUUAAAGCAAAAAACGUGUAUUCUAGUAUGCAGUGUGAGGUCAUCUUUGAUCUGUUAAAAGACUGAUAACAGAUAUGUGUAAGUUGUGAGCAGAAUACAUGUAUUUAGAAUAUAAUUAAGACUUUUUUCUGAAAACAGGCAAAUUGAAAGAUUACCAUAGAUAAGUUCCAAAUGUUAUCAUUUUGCACUAUCACUAUGAAAGAGUUAUCAUAUUGCACUAUAAAUAUCAAAUUUUAUUUAGUUAUAUGCUACAUAUGUACCUUAAAAGAUACUUUUUUACUAUAGCUUCAUUUCAUGGAAUGGCAUCUGCUUUUUCAGCAUUUAUUUCAACACUAUUUAAUAAAAAGGUACAAUUACAAGUUAAAAUAC